UUUACAGAGAGAAUGGUGAGGUGCUGGAACAGCUGCCCAGAGAGGUUGUGGAUGCCCUGUCCCUGGAGGUGUUCAAGGCCAGGUUGGAUGGGGCCCUGGGCAGCCUGGUCUGGUAUUAAAUGUGGAGGUUGGUGGCCCUGCAUGUGGCAGGGGGUUGGAGAUUCAUUCAUUCCUUGAGGUCCCUUCCAACCCUGACCAUUCUGUGAUUCUGUAACAAUACGUAAGAAAGAUAAAGAAGUUGCUUACUGAAAUGAGAGGAGCUCGUGAUUUGCCACUUGUCAUGAUCUGUGCAGUUUCAUGCUUUUGUUGAGAAGUUAAGAAAAUCUUCCUUGCAGUGAAUUGUUGUAAUUUUUUUAAUGAGCCUUACAGUACCUGCCAGUAAGAGAACCUGACAAGCCUCAAAGUGUUCUUAUUACAGAACUUUGGUUUAGGAUCUUCUGUACUGUGUAUAUCUAUUAUUUUAUGUUGUCUGUGAAAAACAAGUAAGGGCUUGUUUGCAAAGUAACUGUAAGUUCUUUAUUUUUUCAUGGGGAGAGCACUGACAUUGGGGUGUUGCUGACUUUUCUUGCUGUUGCUAUGUAGGCUAAUCGAAAUAACUUGCGAUUUCAGAUUAGUUAGCUCCUGGACUCUAGUUUACAGUAGGCAUUAUGAAACCAGAGAAGAUUGAUUCUGUCACCAUAAAAUUUACUGUCUAAAGUAAAUUGUGAACUGGUUGUUUGCUAUUCUUAUGCUACGCAUCUUUCUCCUCUUUGCACAAAAAAUGUGUUACAAGAUAGCGCUGUGAGGCUGAAGGUCACACCAAAAUGUAGGGCAGUGUUUCUCAUGUCAGCUAUCUGCUACUGUGAUACCAUCCACUUCUGCCUCCUUCGUUGCACUGAGGGAGCUCUAAUUUCCUGAAUUGGUAUGCAUUUGCAGUUGCUUUCACAUUACAUUUUGCAUUUAUUUGGUACACUUGAAUAGAAAAGUAAUUGACUGUGCAAUGGAUUUCUUCCGUAUUUCACUAGAUCAGUACCAUCAAACUGCUAAUUAUUCUAAUAUUAAUAUAUAUAUAAAUGGUGUAGAACUAAUGCUCAGAACCCUUUCCUAAACCUACAGUGUUUCCUGACACUGCAUUUGACUGCUGGGGGUUUUUGGUUGUUUUCUUUUUAACCUCUGCUGUGCUAUGAAUUUACCAAGUACUUUUAAGACUUGGACAUACAGCAUUCCUGUCUGUUGUCCUUACUUUCCCAGUUGUCUGUCUGUUUUCUAGAUGCUCUUUACCUUUUUGCACGCUGUUUCGAUGCACUGUGGGUUGUUUCAGCUUUCUGUUCCUGCUUUGAGAACUGCCAUCAUACUACUACAAAUCGGUCCUGUUUCAGAUCUGUUAUGACAGCCUGGUCAAUUCUUUUAAAUCCUUUUUCUCCCUGAAACUCUUACAGAUUCCAUUAUUUUGGAAAGGUCUUUCCAAUUGCAUUUAUGGGUUAACUUCUUGACCUCAUUCCAUCUUCCAGGAAAAUCUCUCUUCUCAUUAGCUUGCCUUUGAGGACAGAGGAGAUAAAUUAAGUCUUUUUUUUUUUUUUUUUUUUCCUCUUUUCUUUUUUGGGUAAUAAGUGCAUUCCUUUCUAACCUUUGUUGUUUCUUUCUACCUCACAUGUUUCCAGGCACAAACAAGCCCUUAUCUUACAUUUGGCCACUGCUUGUUCAAUCAUGGAAACUUUUUGGACUGUUUACUGUUCUGGAAAGUGUACAGAAUUGUAAGUAUAUUCCAGAGGGCAGGAAAUAAUAAGAAAGCUAAACUUCACAAGUUAGGGAAGCAGUGAAAUGAAUUCACACCUCUGUUUUCUAGAGGGGUUUUAUGUAUGGUACAGGAACAUAUUCAGAAACUUAGAGAAAGAUUUUGUUUACAAUUUACCUGUUUAAAAAAAAAAAUCUAUAUUGACAUUUAUACUUAAUACAAAAAUUCUGAUUAUUCAAGCUGUAUACAUUAAUAUACAUUAUAUACAUUAUAUAUGUUAUUUACAUUAUAUACAUUAAUUUUAGACUCGCCAUGAGGCAGAAAAAUCUCUCUGUUUCACUGAUGAAGCAGAGAUGGUAUCUUGUCCAUAGUUGUCUUAGUGCUAAGUCUGUGGAGAACAGGGAGUAGAUUUUAAUACUCUCAGUUGCUCUAUCUAUACCCCAAGUCCCACAGAGCCCUUCCAUACCAGAGAUGGAUGAAGUGGCACCAUUGGUUCUGUUUCACACCAGUGUUUGAGAUCUUAAAUUGUUUCUACUUGCUGUUCUUUGCCACUAUAAUUCAGAGUGAAAAUAAGGGAGAUAUGAAAUAGGCUUUUUGCAUUUUUGUUUAAAGCUUCUUUGCAUCAUGUGCAUUGGUACUGAUUUUUGGUUUGCUCAGUUUCCCACAAUCAGUGCUAUGGGGAGAGAGAAGCAGUAGUUGAAAGUGAAGGGUAUUUUGCUGCUUCUGCAAGUGGCUGGUUUGAAUGUUGCCCAUUUUGCUACAGGUCAAAUUCUGCUGCCAUUUGAAAGCUAAAAAAGAAACUAAGAAUAAAAAAGGACACAUAGUUGCAGAUAAGUUACUCAUGCCCAUCUUAGCCUUAAUUUCCAUUAUCAAGUCCAGCUAAAUUGUUCAUCUCAUGAGUGAAACAGUGAUAGCAACAGGAAUUGUACAUAUCCCUUUGUAACUCAAAGCAUAGCUUAAAAGUUAAAAGUACUCUUUUGGAAGAGAGUUGAGGGGGAAGCAUGGCUCUUGACUACUGAGACUGAGAAGAGAAAAGCCACAUUAUCCAGUGGAAAACAGUGUUGUUGAGAGAUAAAUGGCUUCUGUGCUGCUCUGUGUGUCUUUAAAUGCAGCCUGCCAUAUCAGUAUCUAAUGCCUAAUCCCAUAAAUCUGCUUAUUCUUGCAUGCAGGUAAAGGUAUACCCAUUUAUGUAGAACUUGAUGGGUGUUUCAGUGUGAAAUAAACAAGAUCAUGGACAUUUCUACAAGGGGGAUUUGGGGCCCCUGAAAAGCUUUAAUGCAUAAAGCAAAGUUCACGUAGGCUUCAGGCAGAACUGCGCAGUAUUUAAGCUCUUUAAGAUUUAACAUGCCUUUAAUCUUUUGUUGAACUAGCCUUAAGUUAGGAUUAUUUCUUUGCCUACUAUCCCAAUUUUGGUACUGGAAAAUCACUUUAGUGAGAAAUAGGACAGGUUUUAGCCUUAGCAUGCAGUUCAAGUUAACAGCUGGUGGUGUCCUAUGCCUGCUUUAUGCUAUGCAGUACAGUGCAUCAGACAGUGCUCAAACUUCUUCAUUUGUAGAUCAUAGUCUUGCCGUUAGGCAACAUCAGCAUCUAAUUUUACCAAAAGAAAAACUCUAUGUAGCGAUAUAUGUAAAAAAAAAAUGGUUUAAAAGUAGCUAAUCCUGAGCAUGAAUCACACCUAAUUUCCCUGAACUCCUUUAUCCUUAGUAAGGUUUGCAAACCCCAUCUCCCCCGGGAUUAAAGCAGCCCAAGAUUAAGCAGUUGGGUUUAUGUGCUUUGCUGGUAUGUGACCAAUGAUAAUCCAGAUCACUGAGUAACAGAAUAUCUCAAUUCGAAAGGGACCCAUAACGAUCACCAGCUCCAGUCCUGACUCCACACAGGACCAGCCAAAAUUCGAACCCUGUGUCUGAGAGUGUGGUGCAAACAGUCUUUGAACUCUGGCAGCUCAGGGCAGUGACCGUGGCCCUGGGGAGCCUGUCCCAGCACCCAGCCACCCUCUGGUGAAAACCCUUUUCCUGAUAUCCAACCCGAACCUCUCCUGACACAGCCCCAUGCCAUUCCCUUGAAUUGCAUUGCUGUCAUCAUAAGGCAGAGAUCAGAGCUGCUUUUCCAUUCCCCUUGUGAGGAGCUGUAAGCUGCAGUGAGGUCUCCCAUUAUUCUUCUCUGGGGCUGAACAAACCAAGGGAUUUCAGUGGUUCCUGACAUGUCUUCCCCUUAGAGCCUUCAAUGUCUUCACAGCCCUCUUUUGGAUGUUCUGUAAUAGUUUUAUGACCUUUUUGUGCUGUGGUGCCCAAACCUGCACACAGAACUCAAGGUGAAGCUGCAUAGCACAGCUUGGAGAGAGGAAAUCACUUCCCUUGUCCAGCUAGCAAGGUUAUGCUUGAUGCACCUCAGGACGCAGUUGGCCUUCCUGCCUGCCUGCCUGCUCAUGCUGUCAUUCAUUUUCAACUUCUUGUCAACCAAGACCCCCAAAUGUUUUUUAGUAGAGCUGCUCUUCAGUCUCUUAUCCUCUAACAUGUAGCCAGGGUUACUUCUUCCCAGGAGCACAAUAUGGCCCUUGCUUCUUAAACUUCAUGCAGUUGAUGAUUGCCCAGCCCUCUAAUUUGUCUUAGAUCUCUCUGCAAGGUCUGUGCACCCUUAACGUAGUCCCCCCAAUUUCAUAUCAUCAUCAGACUUGCUCAGAACACCUUUUAGUCCUACAUCCAAGUCACUUAUGAAAACAUUAAAGAGAACUGCUCCUAAACUGGAGUCCUGCAGAACCGUGAUGGUCACCAGCCUGAUGUAAGCCUAUGUACUACAACAUAUUGGACCUCACCUAUCAGCCAAUUGUUCGGCCAUCCCAUUAUGUUUUUGUCUACCUAUGUGCUGGACAUUUUGUCAAGAAGAAUACUGUGAGAAACAGUACUGAAAACACACUGAAGUUCAAGAUGUAAACUGGCUUCCUUUGGUCAAUUAGAUGGAUGAUCUUGCCAUAAAAAGGGAUUAAAUUAGCUAAGCAAGACCUCAUCAACCCACAGUGGCUGUGACCAAUGACUACAGUGUCCUUCGUGUGUUUCUCAGUAACCCCCAACAUAAUUUUUUCCAUAACUUUACCAGAUGUUGAAGUCAGAUGCACAGGUCUGUAAUUACCAGGUUCUUCUUUCUUGACUUUCUUGAAAAUUGGAACAAUGUUUGCCAGCUUCCAGUUAACUCGGGCCUCUCCAGAUUCACAGAACCAUUUAAAAAUAAUUCACAGGUCUCCCAGUGACAUCAGCCAGCUCUUUGAGUACCCUAGGGUGAGUUCCAUUGCAUCCCACGAAUUACACGCGUCCAGGUGGAGCAGCAAAUCCAGCAGAAGUUCUGGGCUGGCUGGCAGUUGGUUGCUACCAUGGCUUGGAGCUGACAGAGCCCAGAAUCAAUGUUGAAGACAGGUGAAGAAGGCAUUAAAAGUCUCUGCUUUGUCCAUAUCCCUGUUUGUAAGAUGAUCAUUCUCAUAUCAAGUAUCAAACCAAUGUUCUCUCUAGAUUUCCUUUUGUUGUUAAUGUAUUUAAAAACAACAAUAACAACAAGAAGCUCUUUUUAUUGUCCCUCCCAGCUCUAACUGAGCUUUGGCUGCCUGAAUCCUUUCCCCACAAAAGCAAGUAGUCUUCCCAUGUCUCCUGAACUUACUUCCAGUGUCCAUGCACUUACUUUUUUUUCCUCAGAUGUGCACAGCAGCAAUAGCAACAUGAUAGCAAUAACUACAAUUCUUGGCUAUCCUGAUUGUCCGCGGCGUAAUGUUGAACGCAGUACAACGCAACGUGGGUUUCAGUAAUGACAUUAAGAAUCAUGACAGGGAUUUUUCAAAGCAGUUUAAGAUAAUUUUGUUGAACCCUAAUCAUUUUCCUGUUCUGAAAACGUCAAACUCAAACUGUGGGGUCACACCACAGAAGAGAGUGUUCUAUGCUGUGUCUGCAUGUGCAAAGCUUGCUUCCCUUAUGGACACACAGCAUGAAGACAGAUUCGUUUCAGAUGUCCACCUUGACCACAAACAUUCAUUUUCACCAUUCUGAGACCUCGCUUUUGGACACAGAGUGGUUCCUAUCAAUUAUCAUCUUUGCAAAUCCUUCAGAGUACAUAGGAGUUGUGCCACGCUGAAAAGGAGUGAAUCAUAUUUGGCAGAUGUGCAGGUGGCUGAACAAGGAAGCUGUAUGUGGUUUAAUACGAGGUUUCUUUGGGCUGCUAGAUUUUUUUCUUCUAGAGCUAUGACUGUUGGAUGAGUUUAACUGUUCUCUCUCUGCUAAUUACUAACAUUACUGAAUUUUAUUUAUUAUUUUUUUAGGAAGCACGGAUGUUUGCCUGUACAGUUUACGGAGCUUCAGGUUGAUAUUUUCUUUGUAUUUUUUUCCAAAUUAACAUUGUGUGAGGCAGAGAAUUCUUCAUAAGUAACUUUCAGUACUGACCCUUUAUCCUCUCUGUUUAGCACAUUAUUGAGACUCACAGAAAGAGCUAUCUGCAGCUCUUCUCUGUUUGUUCAUUUCUAUUAUCACAAUGGUUCUUCAAUAGAAUUGGUAACCUGUGCUAUUUUCUCAGCCUCGUGUAGUAAAUAAUAGUACCUGCCUGAAGCUCAUCAAAACAGCAAAUAGGAUGGCACGUAACACAUCAUCCUUUCAAAACUGCCACGGCAGGGAGGGAUGGCAGUGCAUCCAUUACCUCUGUUAUUUCUCACAAUGAAAGCUUAUCUUUUCUGCCUGCAGAUGGCAAGGCAGCUACAGAAAAACCUGAGAGCUACACAAGGAAGAGUUCCUUCUGAUGAAAAUAGUUUCUUGUUGUCCAAAGAGUAACCUGCACCAGCUUGUUCAUCAUGUUAUUUCUGUAUCUGUGCCUCUGUUCACACCCUUUCCUUUUUCCCCCUCUGGUCUAACUGGAGAUUACCACUUUAAAGCCUGGUCUCAUGGUUGCUACUCUACAAGAAAUUUCUCUAUAAUUUAGCACCACAACAACUUAGAUGCUUUUUUCACAGGCUUAUCCUUACUUCAUCCUUUUGAGAUAAGGGUAUAUGGCUGCUUAUGGAAAGGCAGUCAUGAAUUGCUGAAAGUGCUGAAAGCCAACUGGAUCCCCUAAAGUUUUGCUUCUUCACACGGAUCUCAGACACGUAAGUUUGCCUCCAUGAUUUUCUGUGACAUGAGACUCAGAAAGCUGCCACACAGUAAAUUCAAUUGAAAUCACCUGUGUGCACACACUUGCUUACUGAAAAAGUUGAGUGGUUGAGUGAGUGUGCAUCAGCACAUAGGUUGUUCCUGAGGAUAACCUGACUCCACACGAUCACAUGACUGUCACUUUCCUACAGUCCUACAGUCACUUUCACAUCUGCAAAGUUCCCUUACAGAUUUAUGUCAGUAAUUUUGUAAGAGGCUUAAUGUGGGACUGAGCAAAGAGAUACAGCUGUACUUGACUGAAUACUCAAAACUCUUUGCAACAAAAGGUUGAAAGUGCUUUUGCUUGUAGAGUUAAAAUCCAGCUAGCAAAGCAGUGAUGGCAGUAGCCGGUGAGCUGUGCACUGUUGAGAUAAAUAACAUUGUCCUCUCUCUCCUGAACGAGUUUAUACUAAGCAUGGAUUUAUGCUUGUUUUAUUCCUCUUGUGAUAAAUAAAAACAACACCUUUUUUUAACAGGUGUAAUUGCAUCUUGGUUAAUGUGUGAGCUACAUCCUCAAUGAGUGCGUGUAGGCAAGUGUUGAUUUAUUUUGGCUGCUUGGAAUAACUGACACUUAUGACUCUAACCUAAUUUAAUCUCUUUGCCUCUGGAAUGCUGGUAUCUGAAAGCAAACCAAGUGAUUUUUUAGAGCUGACACUACUGCAGGUUUCUGUUUUGUUAGUUUGCAAUAUUUGCAAUAACUACAACUUUGUCCAAAUUCUGUUGGAUGUAAUGCAUUGCAUAACAUGCCAUAAAGCCUGUUGACUAAUGUGAGCUACAGGGACUACAGAUCUAUUGCUGUUUCACUGCAAAAAGAGUGUAAGUGCAGCUUACUUUUGAGAGGAGAACAGAAAUCUCAGAAUAUCAGAAUCCCAUACGUUUCAGUUUUUCGGUUGAAAUAGAGAAAUUAGUGCUUCUGUUGUGCCAAUAAAAAUAUAUAUGACAAAGCAUCUUUCCUAGAGAAGAAGUAUGUAAGAGAAGAGAUGUUUCUCUUCCAAACAAAGGGCAGAGGGCUGCGAUCAGCUCGUGUCUGAAAUGCAUGUGAUUUGGUUCUUGGGCUGAAUAACUAAUAAUCAUUUUCAAAGAAAACGUGAAUAGAAGUGUGUAGAAAUUCUUGAAAAGUAAGGAUGUGCACAUUGUUAGAAAAGAUCACAUUUUUCUUCCUUGGGACUGAGUUUCGGUAAACUUGUUCAAAUUCUACAAACUAGUGGUAAGAACAGACAAGAUUUCUACAGGAAAAUAAAACCUGAAGAAUAUGCCCAAUUUGGGCUUAACAGAAACAGAGGUGUGUGGGGGUGCGGGGGCAGUGGAAAGAAACUCCUUUACUCCUUCGAUCUAAGAUGAAAUGCUGCAUUUAUAGUUAAUGAUACCAUUAUAAGUAAAAAUAAAAUAAAAUUUUUAAAAGCUAGAUUUAUAGAAAUGUUGGAGCAGGAGUCCUAAAUCCAGUGGUCCAGUUAUCAGCUGUAAAAAAUAAAGUUGUUUGUAAAUGUUC